AACAAACAAUCUGGAGAGCGGCGUUAGAAUAACGUCCACCGAAGGGGAGAAGGCCGUCUGAACCACCAUUCAGACAACCGCGCAAAGCAGUGGGCAGACUGGUUUGCCAUCAUGCGGAUACGGCCGAAAAUCUCAGGUUCAAGGACAGAUAGGGUCAU
rnacentral:ncRNA from 1 species